rnacentral:rRNA from 1 species
UACGUAGGGUGCAAGCGUUGUCCGGAAUUAUUGGGCGUAAAGAGCUCGUAGGCGGUCUGUCGCGUCGGCUGUGAAAUCCCGGAGCUCAACUCCGGGUCUGCAGUCGAUACGGGCAGACUGGAGUUCGGCAGGGGAGACUGGAAUUCCUGGUGUAGCGGUGAAAUGCGCAGAUAUCAGGAGGAACACCGGUGGCGAAGGCGGGUCUCUGGGCCGAUACUGACGCUGAGGAGCGAAUGCGUGGGGAGCGAACAGG